rnacentral:rRNA from 1 species
CCACCGAGAUCUACACUCUUUCCCUACACGACGCUCUUCCGAUCUCGCCGCGCGCGGCGGGCGGGGCGGGGGCACGGGGGGAGGAAUUGGCGGGGGAGCACCACAACGGGUGGAGCUUGCGGUUUAAUUGGAUUCAACGCCGGAAAUCUUACCGGGACCGACAGCAAUAUGAAGGCCAGGCUGAAGACUUUGCCGGAUUAGCUGAGAGGUGGUGCAUGGCCGUCGUCAGUUCGUACUGUGAAGCAUCCUGUUAAGUCAGGCAACGAGCGAGACCCACGCCCACAGUUGCCAGCGUACUCUCUGGAGUGACGGGUACACUGUGGGGACCGCCGCUGCUAAAGCGGAGGAAGGAAUGGGCAACGGUAGGUCAGUAUGCCCCGAAUAUCCCGGGCUACACGCGAGCUACAAUGGUUGGUACAAUGGGUAUCUACCCCGAAAGGGGACGGGAAUCUCCUAAAACCAAUCUUAGUUCGGAUUGAGGGCUGCAACUCGCCCUCAUGAAGCUGGAAUCCGUAGUAAUCGCGUUUCAACAGAACGCGGUGAAUACGUCCCUGCUCCUUGCACACACCGCCCGUA